AUUUGUUGGACGUAUUGACAGCAAAUACGGAGGCACCAAAGAAAGCUUUUGCGAUAUCUCCCAUCGCAAAACUGAGCGGGUGUUUAAGAUUUUUGGCUGAAGGUGGGUACCAGACGGGUGUGGGUAAAGACUGCGACGUGUCCUUGGCGCAAUCUAGUUUCAGCAAAGUAUUGACGGAAGUUCUGACUGUUUUUGAGCGCCAUUUGUGCCCGCAGUGAAUAAAGGUGAGCGAAAGCGAGGAGGAAAACAGGAAUAUCGCCCGAGCCUUUUACGUUAAACAUGGCAUUCCGGGAGUUGUGGGGUGUAUUGAUGGCACCCACGUAAGAAUAAUUGCUCCAACACAAAACGCGGACCUUUACUACAACCGUAAAGGGGACUACAAACUAAACGUUAUGCUUGUAAGUUACUCCUUAUUUCCGCAUUUAUCUAUAUGGGAACUUUUUUAGAUAUCGACGGCUGAGUUGAAGCUCGACCUAUCUCGGCAGCUGGUUCGAAAACGUCCUAUCUCAUAAAAUGGCUCAAGAGCGCACUAUAUUAACAUAUUUUUAAAUUCUGAGAUAGGGCAUUUUCCAAUCGAAAUCUGAAGUAAGGCGUUCUUGGCCCAUUCUCUGAGAUUCAACUUCAACUCAGCCGUCGCUAUGCUUAUUUGUACAUAUUUAUGUUCAAUAUUUAGCUUUGCGACAAUGAAUUAAGGAUUCGCUAUGUUGAUGCUUCUCAUCCUAGGGCGUGCCACGAUUCCUUCAUAUGGAACAACAGCGAAUUGCGUGUUUCUUUUGAGAGGCAAUAUUUGCAAGGAACGAGGAAUCCCUGGCUUUUAGCGGACACAGGGUAUCCUUUAGAGCCGUGGCUAUUGACACCUCAUAGAACUCCAGAAGAAGGCUCAAGGGAAAUGUUACAAGGGAAAAAUUACAAAUGUGUGUUGUGCUUUGCAUAACAUAUGCAUUCAUUUCAAAGCCAAUGUUGACAUUGAACUUGAAGUGUUGGAGCCUGAAGAUGCGGAUGUAACACCAAUUUCUUCUCAGCAGUAUAGCGCAGUAGCACAGUCGAUUAGAACAAAUAUAGGAUCCGCUCUUUAAAUCAUGCGCAAAGCCUGGCAAAAAACGCAGCAUUAAAGCAAGAGUUUGAAGAAUAUAAUAUUUUUUUACCAUGCCAUUGGACACUAUUUUAGUGGGAUUUGUAUGCCGCUAACACAACAAUCUAGUAACAUCUGCUUCAACUAGCCGUGUCUCAACAGGGCCUACAAAACGUUAUUUUUUGCAAUUCAGCAAUCAGCAACAACCAUCGUCCAGCAUAACUACCGGAACUACCACGUCAACAAUUGUUGCCACAAAAGCACUGGGAACCGAACUACUCACGUUCACAAGAGUGGAGCUAUGACUACUUCCACAUCAACAACUUUAUCGGUGAAAACUUUACCAACUGCAGCGGUAUUCCCUCGAAAACAGCAACUGCCCAGCAACAAAUGCAACAACAACAAAGCCAAAACCGAAUUCAACGCCAACCUCAGCAGCAGGGACAGUCAGAGGAACGUAAACAUUUGGUUGGCAAAAAUCCUCCUAGAUAUAUCCUCCAAGCGGGUGCCGACUGGGCAAUGGGCAUCGCUGCGGGCACCGCUGCGGUCGGACCUACGCCGCAGUGGUGAAAGUAGGCGGGGCCUAGCUAAGGCCGAGGUAUAAACUCUCCUGUCUCUUCU